CGGUUGCCAUAACUCCGAGCUUUACCCGCUAAGUUCAAGACAGAAUAAGCGCGUUGAGCCAGUGACGAAAGGUCACAAGGGCAUGAUUGGAAAUGGUCAUGCCUCCCGUGUUUGGAAAGGUGUUCCGUGGCGCAACAA
rnacentral:ncRNA from 2 species